GAACGAACGCUGGCGGCGCGCCUAAUACAUGCAAGUCGAGCGAGAAGACGUAGCAAUACGUUUGUAAAGCGGCGAACGGGUGAGGAAUACAUGGGUAACCUACCCUCGAGUGGGGAAUAACUAGCCGAAAGGUUAGCUAAUACCGCGUACGCUCCUUGGACUUCGGUUCAGGGAGGAAAGCGAUACCGUGGGUAUCGCGCUCUUGGAUGGGCUCGAUGUCCUAUCAGCUUGUUGGUGNGGUAACGGCUCACCAAGGCUUCGACGGGUAGCUGGUCUGAGAGGACGAUCAGCCAC
rnacentral:rRNA from 1 species